ACAUUGGUUUUUCUAAAAACCAAUAUUGGUGAGAAGAAAAUAACAU
rfam:Glycine max cultivar Williams 82 chromosome 18, whole genome shotgun sequence.